rnacentral:rRNA from 1 species
AGGGUUCGAUCAUGGCUCAGGACGAACGCUGGCGGCGGGCCUAACACAUGCAAGUCGAACGAACUCGACCUUCGGGUCAUAUAGUGAGUGGCGAACGGGUGAGUAACACGUGAGAAACCUGCCCCGAAGACUGGAACAACCCGAGGAAACUCGGGCUAAUACCGGAUACCCCCAUCGGAUCGCAUGAUCUGAUGAGGAAAUGCUCCGGCGCUUCGGGAGGGUCUCGCGGCCUAUCAGCUAGUUGGUGAGGUAACGGCUCACCAAGGCAACGACGGGUAGCUGGUCUGAGAGGACGAUCAGCCACACUGGGACUGAGACACGGCCCAGACUCCUACGGGAGGCAGCAGUGGGGAAUAUUGCGCAAUGGGCGAAAGCCUGACGCAGCCACGCCGCGUGAGGGAUGAAGGCUCUAGGGUUGUAAACCUCUUUAGGCAGGGAAGAAAAUGACGGUACCUGCAGAAUAAGGUCCGGCCAACUACGUGCCAGCC